GAUGUAUAUAUCCAUAGGUCUAACUUGACAGAAAAUAAAUAAAUAAGCAAAUAAAUAAUAGUCGGAGGACUUAUUCUGUGCAGCUAUUUAAGCAAGAAAAGAAUUUUCAGAAUCAUUCAGUAAACUUCAUGCAGAAUGACUUCCCACUAGCACUUUCCUCCUGCUCCUGUAAAAGUGUGUUGAAAAAAAGAAUUGCAUAAUGAUAGCUUCAAAUUCCAUCUUGGUAAGGUGCAAACUUGUUGUCUGCAGAGACUGUCUUUGACACUGCUUCUGGGUGUGACACGUGACUUCAGGCAAGGGGGAAGGCUAUCUAGCUGGACAUUUGGAAUUACGCUGUAGCAGAGGAGAACAUUACACCAGCCUCUUGAGUGCUAUAUGCCUAUUCAUGGACAAACUAACGCUUUUUUAAUGAGAGUUUCUGAGGUUGCUAUCCAAACUACAUUCCUUAUCCCAGAUCUCAUCCUUAGCACAACUCCCAAAGGUAUUUGGGAGUUUGGAUGCAGACAUAUAUGUGAAUCCAGGGCUCGAUCAGGUCUCACUGAAGUCAAUAACAAUAUAGUUGUUGCUGAAGAGAUAUCCAUGAGGCUCAAAGGAGAAGUAAAAGCCAUCCAAGAAAAAGCGAGAGAUGAAUUACAGGUUCUUCUUUUCAUCAAAACACACCUUACACUUCUCUGUCUCUCUCCCCCUUUUAAAACAGAAAAUCAACUCUUUCAACUUUAUAGCUACUUUAAAAUAACCGAGAAAAUAUUUAAAUUUGAAGAAAUACUGAAGAGUUCUGGAUGGAUGCCCAAAAAAACGUCAAGUGACCUUCCAGAUAUAGGACUGCAUUUUGGAAUUUACCAACUCCGGUGAAGAAUUUUUGGUGAUGGCAAACUGCUGAAGGGCAGUAAAACAAGCACCGGGAAUCCGAGCAACGAGCCUUUGUUUGCAUGUCUCCCUGUUUCCGGAAAAAAAAAAAAAAAAAAAAAAAAAAUGGGGAAAGAAAAAGAAAAAGAAAAAGAAAAAAAAAAAAGAAGAAUAAAGAACACCUGCAAACCUUCGGUGCGUUAAAUAUUUCAUAAGCAUAACCUCAGGGCGAUCUAAUUACAGAUCGGGCAUAUGUUAAUGCGUAAUUUACCCGGGAAUAUUAAUUUGCGAAGCGCUCGUGGUGUGAGUUAACCCGUUCUUUACAGAAGCGCGUUGGACUCCGAGAGCAGCCUCCAACGCUCUCCCUCUGAGCUGCUCUCUGCGCAGCGCAGCAUCGCUGACCCACUCAGCGGUGGGGUGCGCGCAUCACUGCGUGCGUCCCGCGGAGGGCUGCGGUGCUGAUAGCGGCUGGGAGGAGGCGGGGAAGCCGCAUCCCUCCGCGCAUCCCGCAGCCAGAGAGCACCUGCUCCGGGCACCCGUCUCCGGAAGGCAUAAGGAAGAGGAAACAGCGGGGAUUUCUGUGCUGUCCCCUCUGCCUGAGGGCAGCGUCAGCGUGGAAACAGCCGAUGACAAAGUGCACCCGGACAUCUGCCCUUUGCGGUGUCCCCGUCGGGCGCGGGGAUGGGGAAAGAAGGAGAGGGGACCGAGCGCGUGGGUGCGCGUGUCGGUCAUCGGAGGGGGGGGGGGGUGGGGGGGAGUGAGCCGAGCAUCUGAAGUCACUCGUAAGGUCACAUAGAGCAUUAACUCUUCCCCGCCCUCCCU
ensembl:lncRNA